rnacentral:rRNA from 1 species
AUUGAACGCUGGCGGCAUGCCUUACACAUGCAAGUCGAACGGCAGCACGGGUGCUUGCACCUGGUGGCGAGUGGCGAACGGAUGAGUAAUACAUCGGAACGUACCUUAUCGUGGGGGAUAACGCAGCGAAAGUUGCGCUAAUACCGCAUACGCCCUGAGGGGGAAAGCGGGGAUCGAAAGACCUCGCGCGAUUAGAGCGGCCGAUGCCUGAUUAGCUUGUUGGUGGGGUAAAAGCCCACCAAGGCGACGAUCAGUAGCUGGUCUGAGAGGACGAUCAGCCACACUGGGACUGAGACACGGCCCAGACUCCUACGGGAGGCAGCAGUGGGGAAUUUUGGACAAUGGGGGCAACCCUGAUCCAGCAAUGCCGCGUGAGUGAAGAAGGCCUUCGGGUUGUAAAGCUCUUUUGUCAGGGAAGAAACACCGGCUCUAACACAGUCCGGGAAUGACGGUACCUGAAGAAUAAGCACCGGCUAACUACGUGCCAGCCGCCGCCGUAA